rnacentral:miRNA from 1 species
UAUUAGGGUGGUGCAAAAGUAAUUGCAGUUUUUGCUAUUCCUUUUAAUAGUGAAAACCCGCAAUUACUUUUUCACCAACCUAAUA